AGUUAAUGAACUUGUAAAAGUAUAUGUUUUGAAAACAUAAAAAAGAGGUAAAAUCCCCUAUUAACUU
rnacentral:tRNA from 1 species